rnacentral:rRNA from 1 species
UCGCCAGACUCCUACGGGAGGCAGCAGUGAGGAAUAUUGGUCAAUGGGCGGGAGCCUGAACCAGCCAAGUCGCGUGAGGGACGACGGUCCUAUGGAUUGUAAACCUCUUUUGUCGGGGAACAAAGGCGCCCACGGGUGGGCGGAUGAGUGUACCCGAAGAAAAAGCAUCGGCUAACUCCGUGCCAGCAGCCGCGGUAAUACGGAGGAUGCGAGCGUUAUCCGGAUUUAUUGGGUUUAAAGGGUGCGUAGGCGGACAGUCAAGUCAGCGGUAAAAAUGCGGUGCUCAACGCCGUACAGCCGUUGAAACUGGCAGUCUUGAGUGGGCGAGAAGUAUGCGGAAUGCGUGGUGUAGCGGUGAAAUGCUUAGAUAUCACGAAGAACUCCGAUUGCGAAGGCAGCUCACUGGACUGCAACUGACACUGAGGCUCGAAAGUGUGGGUAUCAAACAGGAUUAGAUACCCGGGUAC